rnacentral:rRNA from 1 species
CAGUAGCCGCGGGAAUACGAAGGGGGCUAGCGUUGUUCGGAAUCACUGGGCGUAAAGCGCACGUAGGCGGACGCUUAAGUCAGGGGUGAAAUCCCGAGGCUCAACCUCGGAACUGCCUUUGAUACUGGGUGUCUUGAGUCCGGGAGAGGUGAGUGGAACUGCGAGUGUAGAGGUGAAAUUCGUAGAUAUUCGCAAGAACACCAGUGGCGAAGGCGGCUCACUGGCCCGGAACUGACGCUGAGGUGCGAAAGCGUGGGGAGCAAAUAGGAUUAGAUACCCCUGUAGUCCCUGUCUCUUAUCC